rnacentral:rRNA from 1 species
GACGAACGCUGGCGGCGUGCUUAAUACAUGCAAGUCGAACGGACCGGCCCUGCUUUUGUGCGGUGCUCGAGUGGCGAACGGGUGCGUAUCACGAGCGUAUCCUGCCUUUGACUCUGGGAUAACUCUAGGAAACUGGGGGUAAUACUGAUUAGGAGUACCUGCUGCUUGGUGGGGGUUGGAAAGUUUGGGCGGUUCGGGUAGGAAUCGAGGCUUGUCCGCUUGUUGGUGGGGUAGUGGCUUACCACGGCUUUGCCGGGUAGCCUGCCUGGGAGGGUGACCUGCCACAUUGCGAUUGUAAUAGGGCCCAGACUCCUACGGGAGGCGGCAGUGGAGAAUAGUGCACAAUGGGCUGAAGCCUGAUGCAGCAACGCAGCGUGCGGGAUGACGGCCUUCGGUUUGUAAACCGCUUUCGCGUGUGACGGAGCGUUAAUGACGGUAAUGGGUAAAGAAGCACCGGCUAACUACGUG